AGAACGGGUGGCGGGCAUCCGUAUGGUGAGAGGCAUCUAGCCCGGACACAAUGCAGACUUUUUUCCCCUGCAGUCCCUUGGAGCUCUGCACUGAGAUUUGUCACCUCUGUCGAUGAGGUGCUGCUGCUUUGCUGGGUCUUCAGGACUCUGAGCUUGGUAGGCCAAAUGGCUCCCAGUUCCAGACAUGCAUUGCAUGUGACUCGGUUACGGAGUGUCCAAAGUCAAGACCCGGUAGCAAAUAAGGAGUUGUUCCCCAAAGCAGAAUAAUUACUUGUAGUCUAGAGCUUGGCGUUGCUCCAGAAGUUAAGAGGCUGCAGCUGUGCUCUCUCCCAUUGGGAUCUGCCACAGAUGUUGCGGGCACCAUUAGAUCUCUAGGGUCAUAAGGACAUUAAUGUGGAGCUUCUGACAGUGAGGCACGAACCAGCAGGAGACUCUUACCAGGCUUCCAGGAAAUGAGAGCAGCAACCCCAGAGGUGACUCGGGGUGCCCUCAGAUGCCAAAGAGCCUCAUCAAGCAUCUGGGCCUCCCUUUCUAGCAGUACUGAUGCCUCCAGUUUCUGGACUGACAUGGCCUUACUCCUGGUGAGCUAUUUUGGUAGGAACGGGAGCAUAAGGCAUGCCACCUUGGCCCUUUAAUCAGUCAACAGCCUUCCUUCAGGAGUCCGAGAGAGGGUCCUGUGAUUGCCUUUGCAGACUCCAGUUUUCUCUCUGCCUCCUAAGGCAGCGGCCAAAAGAUCUGAAGAUACUGCCGGACAUUUUCCACAGACAACGUUACCCCUAGCUGAGACCACUGCAGCAACUC
ensembl:lncRNA